rnacentral:tRNA from 1 species
GAGAGAUUAGCUCAGUUGGUAGAGCAACCGUUUUACACACGGAAGGUUGGGUGUUCGAAUCACCCAUUUCUCACCA